UUUCGCUUGCCGGGCCGGCUGGCUCAGGGGGGACUUCUACAGAGCUGGAAGUGUGUUAUUUGUCGGUGGCCGUGUACUUCCCCCGCCUCAACUCCAGUUGGGAGAGACUGACUCCUAGAGCGGAGCAAACUUCUAGCCACAUCCCUCUGGCCUGGGCGGGAGACCCGAGAGUGAAAAAAAUAGGAGUGAAGGAAAAAUAAACCUGUGAUGAUUUCUCACGCUUUACGUCUCCUGCUCGAGGGUUUCGGCGGAGAAACAUUAUUCUGCAGACUAUAUUUCUGAGGGCAUAUACCCCAUCAGAGACAGUCUUGCCUUAGGUAACAUGCUCCAACUUGAAUAGCGACCUUGGAGGCCUCCAGGAGGAGAUCAGCUGCACAGUGGGGACUGAAAAGAAGCAUUUCUAGGCUUCCAAGUGUUCCAAAUGCGAGUGAGGGGAAGAGGAGAAAGGAGAUGGUGUCAAG